AGAGAAAGAGAGAAGGAGGUAUCGGAAAAGGUCGACUUUGUAGGGCUAGCUAAGAGACGUCAUGUUACACCGAGCAAUAUAAUCGAUCGUGAAGUUAAAGAACCAUGUUUUUCUCCUUGAAGUCAUCGUAGGAAAAUGCAUUUAGGACAGUAGUGCUCCCAGAUGCAAAAUUACUUGCUUCAAAGUGCUCCAUGCGGGAAAUUUUCCUGCUACAAAAAUUGCUCCGAAAUCAGAAGACCUUGGUAGCAUCAGUGAAACUGGCAUGGGCAAGUGGCUGUGAUAAUUAGCUGUGCUGCAGCUUGAAGCUUUCAAAAGGAACUGCAUUAAAGACUUUUGUUCAGCAUUAUUUUGUUCCCAUAACUUCAGUUACAUUGCCUCAACAUUCGAAGACUGACUGAAUUUAUGUUUAAUAAAUGUGUUUGAAAACAAUAUUCUA